UGGGCCUGGUGUGCAUGUGUGCAGCUAAGUGCCGGCUAAUUUCCCCUUGGAUCUCCCGGCCGGAGCCUAGGAUUUCUCCCCCAACAACGCCACCCCACAAACACCACUGCCUCGGUCCCCUGUCCAUGUGAAGAGGAGAUGGGAAAGGGGCAGAUUUGGCAGCGAUGGGCGAACAGGAGCUCCUUCCAUAUAAUGAGAAUCCACUACGAAAAAGACACUGUGCAGUGCUCCGUUUCCAGGGAACAUAACAUGGGACCGCACUCUAGCAGCAGAACUUCUACGCGGGGCCUGGGUCUUCGGCAGCGGGGCCUGGGUCUUCGGCAGCGGGGCCUGGGUGUCCGGCAGCGGGGCCUGGGUCUCCGGC
ensembl:lncRNA